rnacentral:rRNA from 1 species
UGGUGGAGUGAUUUGUCUGCUUAAUUGCGAUAACGAACGAGACCUCAGCCUACUAAAUAGUUACGCAAGCACUAUGCUUGUGGUCAACUUCUUAGAGGGACUAUAUACGUCAAUUAUAUGGAAGUUUGAGGCAAUAACA